rnacentral:rRNA from 1 species
GAUGAACGCUGGCGGCGUGCUUAACACAUGCAAGUCGAACGGAGUGCCUUAGAAAGAGGAUUCGUCCAAUUGAUAAGGUUACUUAGUGGCGGACGGGUGAGUAACGCGUGAGGAACCUACCUCGGAGUGGGGAAUAACAGACCGAAAGGCCUGCUAAUACCGCAUGAUGCAGUUGGACCGCAUGGUCCUGACUGCCAAAGAUUUAUCGCUCUGAGAUGGCCUCGCGUCUGAUUAGCUUGUUGGCGGGGUAAUGGCCCACCAAGGCGACGAUCAGUAGCCGGACUGAGAGGUUGGCCGGCCACAUUGGGACUGAGACACGGCCCAGACUCCUACGGGAGGCAGCAGUGGGGAAUAUUGGGCAAUGGGCGCAAGCCUGACCCAGCAACGCCGCGUGAAGGAAGAAGGCUUUCGGGUUGUAAACUUCUUUUCUCAGGGACGAACAAAUGACGGUACC